rnacentral:rRNA from 1 species
GACGAACGCUGGCGGCGUGCUUAACACAUGCAAGUCGAACGGAAAGGCCCUGCUUUUGUGGGGUGCUCGAGUGGCGAACGGGUGAGUAACACGUGAGUAACCUGCCCUUGACUUUGGGAUAACUUCAGGAAACUGGGGCUAAUACCGGAUAGGAGCUCCUGCUGCAUGGUGGGGGUUGGAAAGUUUCGGCGGUUGGGGAUGGACUCGCGGCUUAUCAGCUUGUUGGUGGGGUAGUGGCUUACCAAGGCUUUGACGGGUAGCCGGCCUGAGAGGGUGACCGGCCACAAUGGGACUGAGAGACGGACCAGACUCCAACGGGGGGCAGCAGUCGGGAAUAUUGCACAGUGAGCGGAAGCCUGAUGCAGCGACGCCGCGUGCGGGAUGACGGCCUUCGGGUUGUAAACCGCUUUCGCCUGUGACGAAGCGUGAGUGACGGUAAUGGGUAAAGAAGCACCGGCUAACUACGUG